ACCCUGAUCCAGCCAUCCCGCGUGUGCGAUGAAGGCCUUCGGGUUGUAAAGCACUUUUGGCAGGAAAGAGACGUCGCGGGUUAAUACCCCGCGAAACUGACGGUACCUGCUAGAAUAAGCACCGGCUAACUACGUGCCAGCAGCCGCGGUAUAUACGUAGGGUGCAAGCGUUAAUCGGAAUUACUGGGCGUAAAGCGUGCGCAGGCGGUUCGCGAAAGAAAGAUGUGAAAUCCCAGAGCUUAACUUUGGAACUGCAUUUUUAACUACCGGGCUAGAGUGUGUCAGAGGGAGGUGGAAUUCCGCGUGUAGCAGUGAAAUGCGUAGAUAUGCGGAGGAACACCGAUGGCGAAGGCAGCCUCCUGGGAUAACACUGACGCUCAUGCACGAAAGCGUGGGGAGCAAACAGGAUUAGAUACCCUGGUAGUCCACGCCCUAAACGAUGUCAACUAGCUGUUGGGGCCUUCGGGCCUUGGUAGCGCAGCUAACGCGUGAAGUUGACC
rnacentral:rRNA from 1 species